rnacentral:rRNA from 1 species
GACGAACGCUGGCGGCGUGCCUAAUACAUGCAAGUCGAGCGGAAUGAUGAAGAAGCUUGCUUCUUCUGAUUUUAGCGGCGGACGGGUGAGUAACACGUGGGCAACCUACCUUGUAGAUUGGGAUAACUCCGGGAAACCGGGGCUAAUACCGAAUAAUCCAUUUUGCUUCAUGGCGAGAUGUUGAAAGACGGUUUCGGCUGUCACUACAAGAUGGGCCCGCGGCGCAUUAGCUAGUUGGUAGGGUAAUGGCCUACCAAGGCGACGAUGCGUAGCCGACCUGAGAGGGUGAUCGGCCACACUGGGACUGAGACACGGCCCAGACUCCUACGGGAGGCAGCAGUAGGGAAUCUUCCACAAUGGACGAAAGUCUGAUGGGGCAACGCCGCGUGAGUGAAGAAGGUUUUCGGAUCGUAAAACUCUGUUGUAAGGGAAGAACACGUACGAGAGUAACUGCUCGUACCUUGACGGUACCUUAUUAGAAAGCCACGGCUAACUACGUG